UGAGGAAUAUUGGACAAUGGGCGCAAGCCUGAUCCAGCCAUGCCGCGUGCAGGAAGACGGUCCUAUGGAUUGUAAACUGCUUUUAUACAGGAAGAAACACCUCUACGUGUAGAGACUUGACGGUACUGUAUGAAUAAGCAUCGGCUAACUCC
rnacentral:rRNA from 1 species